GAGAGUUUGAUCCUGGCUCAGAAUCAACGCUGGCGGCGUGCCUCAGACAUGCAAGUCGAACGAUUAAAGCUCUCUUCGGAGAGUGCAUAGAGUGGCGCACGGGUGAGUAACACGUGCGCUAAUACCGCAUAAUGCAGCGGCAUCGCAAGAUGACAGUUGUUAAAGGAGCAAUCCGCUUGAAGAGGAGCUUGCGGCAGAUUAGCUAGUUGGUAGGGUAAUGGCCUACCAAGGCUACGAUCUGUAACCGGUCUUAGAGGACGGUCGGUCACACUGACACUGAAUAACGGGUCAGACUCCUACGGGAGGCAGCAGUCGGGAAUUUUGGGCAAUGG
rnacentral:rRNA from 1 species